AAACAUCUGGGCAUGUUUUAUAUAGGCUUGAGAUGUUUCCAUUAGCAGCAGAGAAGGAGUUACUCCCAUCAGAUAUUCAACAUCAUCAUGUUUCCUGUAGUUCCUCUGCUGCUUCUGGCUGCUGGAUCCUGUGUGAAGUGUGAACAGCUGACACAGCCAGACUCUGUGAGUCUGCAGCCAGGUCAGAGACUGACCAUCACCUGUCAGGUCUCUUACACUCUGAGCAGCUACUGGACAGCUUGGAUCAGACAGCCUGCAGGGAAAGGACUGGAGUGGAUUGGUAGCGAAUGUUUUGGGUGCAGCACCAAAUACUACAAAGAUUCACUGAAAAACAAGUUCAGUAUGACUUUGGACUCUUCCAACAAGAGAGUGACUCUAAAUGGACAGAACAUGCAGCCUGAAGACACUGCUGUGUAUUUCUGUGCCAGAGAUCCACAGUGAUACAAACCAUCAGCAGACCUGAACAAAAACCCUCAGAGCCUGAAAACUUGUAGCAUGAAUCCACCAGAGGAGGCGCUCUAACAUCAUCAAUGAUUUU